UACCAGCACCCCGAGUGGUUGGGACGUUUAUUGGGCCUAAAGCAUCCGUAGCCGGUUCUACAAGUCUUCCGUUAAAUCCAACUGCUUAACAGGUGGGCUGCGGAAGAUACUAUAGAGCUAGGAGGCGGGAGAGGCAAGCGGUACUCGAUGGGUAGGGGUAAAAUCCGUUGAUCCAUUGAAGACCACCAGUGGCGAAGGCGGCUUGCCAGAACGCGCUCGACGGUGAGGGAUGAAGCUGGGGGCGCAAACCGG
rnacentral:rRNA from 1 species